rnacentral:tRNA from 1 species
GGAGAGGGUAUAGCUCAAGUGGUAGAGCACAUGCCUAACAUGCAUGAGGCCCUGGGUUCAAUCCCCAGUACCUCCA